CAUCCUCAACCUUCUUGGUCUUGCGAUCGGGAAAGGCCUCUUUUUGGACUUUGGAGGUUAUUGCUGGUCCCCCCUUGAUAGCCAGCUCCUCUUAAAUGAAUUAGUAGGGACCACUUUGCCGACCCUAGACGUGAUAAGAUGUUUCUGCGUCUUGGGUAUUCGCUCUGUCCUUUGGAAACCUGCUUCUAACCGUCUUGUCAAAAGACAGCGUUCGAGCCUUUCUCGUUGAUCGGGCAAGGCUUGACUUGACGAA
rnacentral:misc_RNA from 1 species